rnacentral:misc_RNA from 1 species
AAAGUCGUAACAAGGUUUCCGUAGGUGAACCUGCGGAAGGAUCAUUACCAAAUCCAAAUACCCAAACCCCAUGUGAACUAUUGUAUAGUCUGUCUUUGGGAGAAAAAUGAAAUAUAUAAGAAUACUUUUUUGUUUUUUUGUAUAUGAAAUUUUUCUCCCAAUAGAGUCCGGUGCAACAUUUACUGUUGUCCAGAUUCGAAACCCCUUUUUUAAACCACUUGAUUUUUCUGUUGGAAUUUACUUUUAUUAAUUUUAAAUAAAAGACAACUUUUAACGGUGGAUCUCUUGGCUCGU